CCAGACGGUCGGACGACCGCUGUCGGCGCGCCCGUGCGCAAUGAUGGAGGAAAGUCCGGGCUCCACGGAAGAACGGUGCCGGCUAACGGCCGGCGGGGGCGACCCCAGGGACAGUGCCACAGAAAACAGACCGCCCCCACGGCUGAUGGACCGGUUUUACGAUCGGGCCGGAUGUUGGGGGUAAGGGUGAAACGGUGCGGCAAGAGCGCACCGCGCGCAUGGUAACAUGGGCGGCAGGGCAAACCCCACCGGGAGCAAGACCGAAUAGGAACGGCAGGCGGGCGGAUUCCGGUCCGCGCCGUCAGGGGCCUUUCCGCCCCGUCGUUCGGGUUGGUCGCGUGAGGCGUGCCGCAAGGCGCGUCCCAGAGGAAUGGUCGUCCCAUCCCUUCGGGGAUGGACAGAACCCGGCUUACAGACCGUCUGGCAUC
rnacentral:RNase_P_RNA from 3 species